CUUCAGAGGCAGAAGAAACUUACUGUCUGCAAAUUCUUGUUCUGCUGCAUUGCCCAAUGAGGCUCUGAAAGAUAUAGUCCUGCAGAUUAUUGGAGAAAACAAGGGUGUUUGUGAACUUUUCCACCUCUUGGGAUCUCUGUGUAGGACAAGGAAGAUGAGCUGAUGGGCAAGGAGGCCAGACUAGCUGAACAGAGACCUUUGGCUUGAACUCAAGAACAAAAGGAAGGUUUAUGGUCUUUGGAAGAGCGGGCAAGCUACUUACGAUGAUUACAGACAGAAAGGACAAGAUCUUCCAUUCUUCCACUCUAGGAGGAUUCCUCCUUGUCACCUCAGUUAAGGCAACUGGAAGACCGUGGUUCAGAGCUUCACUGUCACCAAAUCACAAGGAGCAUGUUGCAAGGCAGUAAAACCUGGUACCUUGUGAGCAGUGAAACCAGACAUCUGAUCUUUUUGAGAAAUGUGCAGUCUAAGCCUACACAGAUAAACUCCCUUGGUUCCUGCUUGAGACCUGGCCAGGCUUCGAGUGGAAUCCAAAAGGAGGAUGACUCCAGAUGUUUCUGCACCUUAAGCUAUAAAGCAGGACUGGUCUGACUGCAAGGGAAACAAUCACUUUAGGGUUGAGGAAGACCACACACAAACCUGGUGGUAGGCCCACUUGGAGACAGGAUCUCAAGACACAAGCAAAUACUGUUCUAUUUUUCAGACUUUUGUGAUUCAUGGAGAAUGUUACUAUUCUUCUGGCUUUAAACAGCAAUACUUCCACUUUUACAAGACCUAACUUGUGUGAUGUUGUGCACCAAAAUAUUUCUAGAAAGUAGUUUUAAAGGAGCAGUGUCCCAGAUGUCAACUUGAAAGCAGCUCUUGAAGCAUUAUGAAAGAACUUUGGAAUCUCCAGAUGAAAAGACCUAGCUCAUUCUACUUCCAGAAACAAGACAUGGCCAUGGUCAAAAGGAUGAAAAUUGCACAGAGGAGAGUGAAAAGUUUGGGGUCCAGAGAGGCUCUCCCCAAGGUACUGGCAGACCUGAUAAUUUCCACAGCUGUUCUUCAUAGAGGAGAAGUGAGAAAAGUGUUAGUGACCAUGGGGACCCAAAGCUCUGUCAAUAAAUAUUCAUUUUCCUAAAACUUAAGCCAAGGACCAGUAAAGCUUCCCCUCAGAGCACUAUCUUAUGCUCAGGAUCAGCAGCUAGCUCAGGAGAAUGUUACUCACUCCACUCCGUUCUUUCCAAAGUUCUUAGUAGCAGACCUGGAGCAAGAUGUACUGUCUUUUCUUUUUCAGUGAAAGCAGACAUGGGGCUCCCGCGUAGCCAAGAUCCUCAUAAAUCCAGACACCUCUUGGUCGAGAGAAUUAAGUUUGAAAUUUCCUUCCUGUGAGUGAGCCCUGGAAAAGAAGUAAAAAUACCCAGGACAAACAAAAGAGAUUGAAGCACCUUUAAUUAUGUUUUUCUUGCCCUUCAUAAUCACCAGACAAAGCAGAGCUCUAUAUAUGCAUGAUUAAUGUGAUAAUUUACCACCUAAUUUACAGCUAAGGCACAGCAAAUAAAGUGGAGGCUUUGUUUGUUGAAGUAGACAUGCAUAUACUUACCAACAAAUAACUCACCCAAUCUGUAUUGAGAAGGCUCAAUAUGGGCAUGGCUCUGACUCAAUCUUUUAAAAUAUUUAUAUAUGUCCUGUAGUCACUCGCGAACCUCUGCUAUAGUUAAUUGGAGGCACUUAGUCUUUAUGCUGGCCUCUCAUUGUGAUAAAUAUUUAAUCACAGAGGGAAGUGUGCGUUAGCAAGAGGAGACAUCAG
rnacentral:lncRNA from 1 species